AAAUUAUCAUAGAUUCUCCAGAACUCUGCCGCUUGACACCAUCGGAGGUCCAUCCGCCUCCGUCCCUCUGGGUCCCGGGCAGCGGAACCCGAGGCACAGAGGAAGGACGCCAAGCCGGAAAGGCUGCGCGCCAGUGGUCCACCCGGAAGUGCGCCCCCCAUCAGGUCCCCCCCAGAGCCCCCAGCGCCGGCCGGCCACGCACCCACCUGUCCGAGUGUGGCUGCAGCCAUGAUCCCGUGCGUGCGGCCGGCGACUGUGCCCGCCUGGGGCGCGGCUGGUGGAAGGCAUUCGGGCCCCGCCCUGCUCACGCCCCCUCCCGCAGAUGGCUGCUUUCCGCGAGCCUCACUUCUGCCAGGCCUUCCUUAGAAGUUCUAGGGACCUCAGGGACCCAGGCUCUGCUGUGAAGAUCGUGCGCGGGAACAGUCCCGACCUGCCGCACCCUCUCUCCCUCCUCGCCUCCACCC
ensembl:processed_transcript